CUGUUAUAUUAUCACCUUUCACCUCUCACAGCUGACUCUGAAGACAAUCGUCAUGAAGACUGCCAUCCUUAUUCUGUUCGUCCUGAUCGCUUGGGGCGCUGUCUCCGAUGUGGAAGCCUCGCCUUAUGCUCCCGUAAAGCGUGCACUCAGGGCUGCUGCCCAAGGGUUCGCUCCUUCGUCGCUGGAGGUCUCUGGCGGUCGGCGGUUCCGUAGGGGGAUGUGCGUCACAUCUUUCUUCCCUCACAUUCCCUACCCUUGCUGACGGCAGCCGAAUGGCGCUUUUCAAGAGGUCACCAAUACCAGUGGUUCUUACCGUGGUUACACAGUGGUUACCGUGAAAUAAAAAACAUUGAACGAGA